GGGAGGACAGCUGUCCUGGGCUCGGCUCGUCGGCACGACCGACCUAGGGUCAGAGGGUCCGAUCCGUAGACGAAGGGCGUCGAGUCGGCGCUAGGCUGUCCACCUCUCUGCUUGCCUCGUCCUCUGGUCUCGUCUGGUCGGCGGCGAUGCUCCUCCCAGCGGGAUCAGGUGUGCAGAUGUCUUGGUCGGUAGUCAGAUCAGCAGAUAGUCAGGUCAGCAGAUUGACUGGUCGACUGGUCGGUGGGACGGAUCGUCGACUUGCUUGAGGUCUUCAGCUCCUUUUAUACUAUUCUAACUGGGCGUUCGUGGUAUUGGUUCAGACUUAUCACACUGUCCAUUUCGGGGUACACCCUGUCCAGUUCAGUGUACGCCCUGUCCAGUUCAGGGCACACCCUUAUCAGUUCCAUACCGCUUAAGGUUCUACUUUCAUAUCUCAUGGUUACACAUCAUUAUGUUAUACUUAGGUUACAGCACUCUUAAAGUCACAGGACACUUUAGGGUUACAGCACACUUAGGGUUAUACAAUUCCAUCUUAUUUCAAGGUGUUCUCCACACCUGCGUUUGGGGUUCCAAAGGUGCCCACAGUCCUUGGCUUGUGGAUCUUCCCUCCGUCUUCAGAGCCACAAGCCCAGGGUCCCAGCCCUGUGUCCUGGCGUCUCCUGGUGAUAUAGCUGGAAAGGCCUGAGUCUGCGUACUUAGUGGUUAGCCAGGCCCACGGGGUUGGGCCAGGAUCCCACCCACGCAGAGUCCGGGACCCCACUUCCCAGAGCCCACGUGCGUGACAGUCACGGCUUCCCCGUGUGAGACGUGACAUUGGCAGCAGGAACAGUGCUGUUCUGCCGCCAGGGCCACAAUGAGUGGCAUUUCCUAGACACUGCAGGAUUUAUGGAGGACUAAAGGGUUGUGGAAAUGUUUACAGAGUCCAAGAAAGCGUGAGAGAGGUACAGCGGCCACACCUCGGAAGGUUUGCAACUUGAGAUUAUUUUAGAUUUCCGUGGGGAAUGACGGGCAAUUCAGGCUCCUUGCUGGCAGCCAGAGUAGGAGUCAUUCUUCCUCCUUUGAAUUUUAGAAAAGAUGCGUCCAAAAUAUACAGGGUCAGUGGAGUCUGAGUGUGAGAGGCCUCAGGCAGCGGUGACUCCCCAGGAAGGGGCUAGCGGGGCUGCAGCUGGCGCAGAGCAGGAACCAGUGUCCCCUGCAGGAGCCCCUGGCCACAAGCCAAGGUGCAAGCCCCGGGGACCUCGCCUUGGGGCUCAGUGUUCGAGGCACAAGCCCCAUGCUCGCUGUGGCCUGAGUUCCACCACCCUGGCUCCCCGACUCUGAGCGUCUCCCUGACUGCUGUGGGCCGCAGGCCCGUCCAUCUCCUGCCUGGAUCCCCUCAUCUCAAGGAGCCCGGCCCCCGUACUCAGGGACUCUCCCUCCUCCCAGCCCCUGGGCAUUAUGGACCUGCUUCCUGUCUGCCUGUGGAGUCCCUGCCCUGGACACUGGUGCUAGGAAACCCCACAGCAUGUGGCCUUCCUCCCCUGCCCUGUGCCCAGGCUCCUACAUGUUGCUGCCUAGACCAGCCCUUCUUCCUCUCUGGGGCCGGGCCUGGGUGAGCUCCUCUUGCCUGGAUGCAGGGAGUGUGUAUCCAUCUGUGCACUGCAGGCCUGGGCUGCCUCUCUGGGGUCACUGGUGCAGUUCAGAAAUGCCCCAGGCUGGGGGACCUCUGGGGGACCUUCCUGUGCCCUCCUUCUCCUGAGGGGACUUGGGGCACACAGGUGUCAGGGAGCCUGUCCCCACCCUCCAGUCCAGCACAGAUCUCAUAGAGGACCCUAGGCAGGAGCUUGCAGGGCCACAUGAUGGAAAGUGGCAUCCACCAGUGGCUGCCACCAGAGCUGGGGGCCUAGAGCAGCCCUGAGAUGCUUCACACGGGGCCUAGGGUGACCCUCGAGUACCAGACAUGGGGGGCAGAGAGGGGUUGCUCCAGCUGCCAGGGCUGUGCAUGGGGCCUCUCCCAGCCAUGGCAGAGGGGACACAGCAGCACGGGCCCUGUGGAAGGACAUAGCACACCCUCCAGUGACACUGAUGGGCAGGCAGGGCAGGGGCAGGAGGAGGAAUUCCCCUCAGCCUCCCGGGCUCAGCCUCAGGCCCUGCAUGUCCCCAGCUGUGCUCGUGGAGGCCUGUGGCCACCGGCAGAGUGUGGCUAGCGUGUAUGCGUGUGUAGGCAGGUGUGGGAGGAGGCAGGUGUGCGUGUGUGCUGCCUUGUGAGCAUGAAUGUUUGUGUCUCAGUGAACAUGCCUGUGUGUGCAUGUGUGCGGGAGCCCGUGAUUGUAUGAGCAAGUAAGCACGUGUGUGCAUGUGUAAGCGGGGUAUGAACGUGAAUGUGUGGCUGUGUGAGAGAGUGUGUCAGGGCACAGUUGCAGACAUGCGGUGUGUCCGAAUUGGACCAGCACAGAUCCAGGGAGGCCAGCUGGGAUUCAGGGCCGCAGAAGAGGCGGACAGGGCGGUGACAGGAGGAAGGGGCCAGCGAGCACUGGGAGUCCCUGGGGCCCAGGAGCCCGAGCGGGAGUGGUGUGGGCAGGUCAAGUGUCCCUGUGUCCCUGGCCGCAAGGCAGCACCAUUGUCAUCCUGCAGAUGAAGGCUCC
ensembl:lncRNA